rnacentral:piRNA from 1 species
UCCCAGUACCCAAAAGGACGUGAGGGAG